GAAUUCCUUUGGGGCAGGGUGUAAAUCCCGACCGGCGGUGAUGGACAAGUUGAUGUCCUCAGUCCGUGACCCGCUUGCGUAAGCAGCGGUGGAUUUGGUGUAAUUCCAAAGCCGACAGUUAAAGUCUGGAUGGGAAAAGGAAGCG
rnacentral:ncRNA from 1 species